rnacentral:rRNA from 1 species
AGCCCCGUACACAAAAAUGCACAUAUUGUGAGCUCGAUGAGUAGGGCGGGACACGUGGUAUCCUGUCUGAAUAUGGGGGGACCAUCCUCCAAGGCUAAAUACUCCUGACUGACCGAUAGUGAACCAGUACCGUGAGGGAAAGGCGAAAAGAACCCCGGCGAGGGGAGUGAAAAAGAACCUGAAACCGUGUACGUACAAGCAGUGGGAGCCUCUUUAUGGGGUGACUGCGUACCUUUUGUAUAAUGGGUCAGCGACUUAUAUUCUGUAGCAAGGUUAACCGAAUAGGGGAGCCGAAGGGAAACCGAGUCUUAACUGGGCGUUAAGUUGCAGGGUAUAGACCCGAAACCCGGUGAUCUAGCCAUGGGCAGGUUGAAGGUUGGGUAACACUAACUGGAGGACCGAACCGACUAAUGUUGAAAAAUUAGCGGAUGACUUGUGGCUGGGGGUGAAAGGCCAAUCAAACCGGGAGAUAGCUGGUUCUCCCCGAAAGCUAUUUAGGUAGCGCCUCGUGAAUUCAUCUCCGGGGGUAGAGCACUGUUUCGGCAAGGGGGUCAUCCCGACUUACCAACCCGAUGCAAACUGCGAAUACCGGAGAAUGUUAUCACGGGAGACACACGGCGGGUGCUAACGUCCGUCGUGAAGAGGGAAACAACCCAGACCGCCAGCUAAGGUCCCAAAGUCAUGGUUAAGUGGGAAACGAUGUGGGAAGGCCCAGACAGCCAGGAUGUUGGCUUAGAAGCAGCCAUCAUUUAAAGAAAGCGUAAUAGCUCACUGGUCGAGUCGGCCUGCGCGGAAGAUGUAACGGGGCUAAACCAUGCACCGAAGCUGCGGCAGCGACACUAUGUGUUGUUGGGUAGGGGAGCGUUCUGUAAGCCUGUGAAGGUGGCCUGUGAGGGUUGCUGGAGGUAUCAGAAGUGCGAAUGCUGACAUAAGUAACGAUAAAGCGGGUGAAAAGCCCGCUCGCCGGAAGACCAAGGGUUCCUGUCCAACGUUAAUCGGGGCAGGGUGAGUCGACCCCUAAGGCGAGGCCGAAAGGCGUAGUCGAUGGGAAACAGGUUAAUAUUCCUGUACUUGGUGUUACUGCGAAGGGGGGACGGAGAAGGCUAUGUUGGCCGGGCGACGGUUGUCCCGGUUUAAGCGUGUAGGCUGGUUUUCCAGGCAAAUCCGGAAAACCAAGGCUGAGGCGUGAUGACGAGGCACUACGGUGCUGAAGCGACAAAUGCCCUGCUUCCAGGAAAAGCCUCUAAGCAUCAGGUAACAUCAAAUCGUACCCCAAACCGACACAGGUGGUCAGGUAGAGAAUACCAAGGCGCUUGAGAGAACUCGGGUGAAGGAACUAGGCAAAAUGGUGCCGUAACUUCGGGAGAAGGCACGCUGAUAUGUAGGUGAAGCGACUUGCUCGUGGAGCUGAAAUCAGUCGAAGAUACCAGCUGGCUGCAACUGUUUAUUAAAAACACAGCACUGUGCAAACACGAAAGUGGACGUAUACGGUGUGACGCCUGCCCGGUGCCGGAAGGUUAAUUGAUGGGGUUAGCGGUAACGCGAAGCUCUUGAUCGAAGCCCCGGUAAACGGCGGCCGUAACUAUAACGGUCCUAAGGUAGCGAAAUUCCUUGUCGGGUAAGUUCCGACCUGCACGAAUGGCGUAAUGAUGGCCAGGCUGUCUCCACCCGAGACUCAGUGAAAUUGAACUCGCUGUGAAGAUGCAGUGUACCCGCGGCAAGACGGAAAGACCCCGUGAACCUUUACUAUAGCUUGACACUGAACAUUGAGCCUUGAUGUGUAGGAUAGGUGGGAGGCUUUGAAGUGUGGACGCCAGUCUGCAUGGAGCCGACCUUGAAAUACCACCCUUUAAUGUUUGAUGUUCUAACGUUGGCCCGUAAUCCGGGUUGCGGACAGUGUCUGGUGGGUAGUUUGACUGGGGCGGUCUCCUCCUAAAGAGUAACGGAGGAGCACGAAGGUUGGCUAAUCCUGGUCGGACAUCAGGAGGUUAGUGCAAUGGCAUAAGCCAGCUUGACUGCGAGCGUGACGGCGCGAGCAGGUGCGAAAGCAGGUCAUAGUGAUCCGGUGGUUCUGAAUGGAAGGGCCAUCGCUCAACGGAUAAAAGGUACUCCGGGGAUAACAGGCUGAUACCGCCCAAGAGUUCAUAUCGACGGCGGUGUUUGGCACCUCGAUGUCGGCUCAUCACAUCCUGGGGCUGAAGUAGGUCCCAAGGGUAUGGCUGUUCGCCAUUUAAAGUGGUACGCGAGCUGGGUUUAGAACGUCGUGAGACAGUUCGGUCCCUAUCUGCCGUGGGCGCUGGAGAACUGAGGGGGGCUGCUCCUAGUACGAGAGGACCGGAGUGGACGCAUCACUGGUGUUCGGGUUGUCAUGCCAAUGGCACUGCCCGGUAGCUAAAUGCGGAAGAGAUAAGUGCUGAAAGCAUCUAAGCACGAAACUUGCCCCGAGAUGAGUUCUCCCUGAGACUUAGAGUCUCCUGAAGGAACGUUGAAGACGACGACGUUGAUAGGCCGGGUGUGUAAGCGCAGCGAUGCGUUGAGCUAACCGGUACUAAUGAACCGUGAGGCUUAACCUUACAACGCCGAAG